AUUGAACGCUGGCGGAAUGCUUUACACGUGCAAGUCGAACGGCAGCACGGACUUCGGUCUGGUGGCGAGUGGCGAACGGGUGAGUAAUGUAUCGGAACGUGCCCAGUCGUGGGGGAUAACGUAGUGAAAAUUACGCUAAUACCGCAUACGAUCUAUGGAUGAAAGCGGGGGAUCGCAAGACCUCGCGCGAUUGGAGCGGCCGAUAACAGAUUAGGUAGUUGGUGGGGUAAAGGCCCACCAAGCCAACGAUCUGUAGCUGGUCUGAGAGGACGACCAGCCACACUGAAACUGAGACACGGUCCAGACUCCUACGGGAGGCAGCAGUGGGGAAUUUUGGACAAUGGGCGAAAGCCUGAUCCAGCCAUUCCGCGUGCAGGAUGAAGGCCCUCGGGUUGUAAACUGCUUUUGUACAGAACGAAAAGGUUUCUACUAAUACUAGGAGCUCAUGACGGUACUGUAAGAAUAAGCACCGGCUAACUACGUGCCAGCCGCCGCAGUAA
rnacentral:rRNA from 1 species